rnacentral:rRNA from 1 species
AUUGAACGCUGGCGGCAUGCCUUACACAUGCAAGUCGAACGGCAGCGGGGGAGAAGCUUGCUUUUCCUGCCGGCGAGUGGCGAACGGGUGAGUAAUACAUCGGAACGUGCCCUGUAGUGGGGGAUAACUAGUCGAAAGAUUAGCUAAUACCGCAUACGACCUGGGGGUGAAAGUGGGGGACCGCAAGGCCUCAUGCUAUAGGAGCGGCCGAUGUCUGAUUAGCUAGUUGGUGGGGUAAAGGACUACCAAGGCGACGAUCAGUAGCUGGUCUGAGAGGACGAUCAGCCACACUGGGACUGAGACACGGCCCAGACUCCUACGGGAGGCAGCAGUGGGGAAUUUUGGACAAUGGGCGAAAGCCUGAUCCAGCAAUGCAGCGUGUGUGGAGAAGGCCUUCGGGUUGUAAAGCACUUUUGUCCGGAAAGAAGUGGCUCUGGUUAAUACCUGGGGUCGAUGACGGUACCAGAAGAAUAAGGACCGGCUAACUACGUGCCAGCAGCCGCAGUAA